GAUACCCGCUGAAUUUAAGCAUAUCAAUAAGCGGAGGAAAAGAAACCAACAGGGAUUGCUAUAGUAACGGCGAGUGAAGCAGCAAUAGCUCAAAUUUGAAAUCUGGCGUCUUCGACGUGCGAGUUGUAAUUUGUAGAGGAUGCUUCUGAGUAACCACCGACCUAAGUUCCUUGGAACAGGACGUCAUAGAGGGUGAGAAUCCCGUAUGCGGUCGGAAAGGUGCUCUAUACGUAGCUCCUUAGACGAGUCGAGUUGUUUGGGAAUGCAGCUCUAAAUGGGAGGUAAAUUUCUUCUAAAGCUAAAUAUUGGCCAGAGACCGAUAGCGCACAAGUAGAGUGAUCGAAAGAUGAAAAGCACUUUAGAAAGAGAGUUAAAAAGCACGUGAAAUUGUUAAAAGGGAAGGGAUUGCAACCAGACGUGCUCGCGGUGUUCCGCCGGUCUUCCUGACCGGUCUACUCGCCGCGUUGCAGGCCAGCAUCGUCUGGUGCCGCUGGAUAAGACUCGAGGAAUGUAGCUCCCUCGGGAAAAUUAUAGCCUCCUUGUGAUUGCCAGCGAGCGCCGGGUUCNGAGGUACCGGCGGNUUAAGGCUUNGUA
rnacentral:rRNA from 1 species